rfam:Prevotella oulorum F0390 genomic scaffold supercont1.3, whole genome shotgun sequence.
UGGGUGGUGACACCCAUCAUAAAUAAAAUCCAUUCAGCAAUGAAUGGAGGUUUGUUUUAAUUAGUCGUUUGUGCGAGAGUUUGUGAAAACAAUCGCAUAUAAAAAUCUUAAAAGUUGAGU